rnacentral:rRNA from 1 species
AUGGACUUCGCACUCCUCAAGCACAUCUCCUUGCUUGACCUUUCCAUCUCCGGGGACGUGUUCCAUGGCUUGCUCUCUGCAUGCCGCGCCUUGGAGAGCUUUUAUAUGUCCAAUGUUCAUACUGCGGGUUGCCUCCGUGUCAGUUCGCCGACUCUUAGGAGCAUCGGCUUCAGCAAAGAAUAUUGUGGGAAAUCAGAUAUCAUCAUUGAGGAUGCUCCUCUCCUUGUGAGGUUCAUUUUACCUUGUACUUAUAAUUGUGUGGCUAUCCGGGUAGUUAGGGCGCCAAAACUCCAGAUAUUGGGCCCUUUAUUUAUCGCCAUCUCCACGAUAGUUGUCUCCCAGGGAAUAAGACCAGACAGCUCGGCAAACUCCAUGCGCACUGUGAAGGUUUUGUCUCUCAGGUGUUCUGGCCAGGAAUUGGAUGCGGUUCUUAACGUCCUCAGGUGGUUUCCCUGUUUGGAAAAACUCUACAUCGUUGGUACUCUUUUGGUCACAUGGAACAGUCUUAUGAGUUCGAUGGAGAGGGCAGUUUACUUGUCACUCUCCUAUGGUUCUAAGUGUAGGUGCUAA